AUCGCUUCUCGGCCUUUUGGCUAAGAUCAAGUGUAGUACAUAUGCAUACAGGUUAUACAUGUACACAUGUAUACAUAGAUUCCCAGUACUUAGCACUGCACUGCUUGUUGUUUUUAAAAUAUUUUUAUUGAUUUCAGAGAGGGAGAGAGAGAUAGAAACAUCAAUGAUGAGAGUGAAUCAUC